rnacentral:RNase_P_RNA from 1 species
AGCCGGACAGAUGGUCGCUGCUGUAAGAGCCGAAAGGCUGCAGGAGAGGAAAGUCCGGGCUUCACAGGGCAGGAUGCCAGAUAACGUCUGGUGGAGGCGACUCCCAGGACAGUGCAACAGAAAUAUACCGCGUAAGCAAUGAGUCCACAUAGGACCGGAUUUCGGACAGGAGCUUCAUGCAGGCUUGCCUGCAAUGAAGCGAGUGUACGGAAGACGGGAUACGCGGCGAAUGCCGCGUAUCCCACAUGCUGUGCAUGUGGGAUACCUAUGUGGAAAUUCUGCGGGAGGCCUCUGGCCGAUGACCGCGCUUACGUAAGGGUGGAAGGGCAGUGUAAGAGACUACCGCCUGGGUGGUAACACGCAGGGCACAUGUAAACCCCAUCCGAAGCAAGACCGAACAGGGAGCAUAUGGCGGCCCGUCAGCUCCCGGGCAGGUCGCUUGAGCCUGGCGGCGACGUCAGGUCUAGAUAGAUGACCAUCCAACGACAUAACCCGGCUUAUCGUCCGGCUCA